AUACGUAGGUGGCGAGCGUUAUCCGGAUUUACUGGGUGUAAAGGGCGCGUAGGCGGGCAUGCAAGUCAGAUGUGAAAUCUAUGGGCUUAACCCAUAGCGUGCAUUUGAAACUGUGUGUCUUGAGUGAUGGAGAGGUAAGUGGAAUUCCUAGUGUAGCGGUGGAAUGCGUAGAUAUCACGAGGAACUCCGAUUGCGCAGGCAGCUUACUAAACCACUACUGACGCUCAUGCACGAAGGCGUGGGGAUCAAACAGGAUUAGAUACCCUGGUAGUCCACGCUGUAAACGAUGAUUACUAGGUGUGGGGGGACUGACCCCUUCCGUGCCGCAGUUAACACAAUAAGUAAUCCACCUGGGGAGUACGGCCGCAAGGUUGAAACUCAAAUGAAUUGACGGGG
rnacentral:rRNA from 1 species